rnacentral:rRNA from 1 species
UAGGGAAUCUUCCGCAAUGGGCGAAAGCCUGACGGAGCAACGCCGCGUGAGUGAUGAAGGUCUUCGGAUCGUAAAACUCUGUUAUUAGGGAAGAACAAAUGUGUAAGUAACUAUGCACGUCUUGACGGUACCUAAUCAGAAAGCCACGGCUAACUACGUGCCAGCAGCCGCGGUAAUACGUAGGUGGCAAGCGUUAUCCGGAAUUAUUGGGCGUAAAGCGCGCGUAGGCGGUUUUUUAAGUCUGGUGUGAAAGCCCACGGCUCAACCGUGGAGGGUCAUUGGAAACUGGAAAACUUGAGUGCAGAAGAGGAAAGUGGAAUUCCAUGUGUAGCGGUGAAAUGCGCAGAGAUAUGGAGGAACACCAGUGGCGAAGGCGACUUUCUGGUCUGUAACUGACGCUGAUGUGCGAAAGCGUGGGGAUCAAACAGG